rnacentral:rRNA from 1 species
AAAUAAGAAAUUUACUUUAUUUUUUGUGUAUAUUUUAAUUUAAUAAAAAUAAUUUUAAUAGUUUAUAUUUUUAGUAGAGUUUAUAGAAAAAAUUAAUUUAGUUAUAGUUUAAUUGUAUUGUAAAAGAUUAUUGAAAUAAAAUUUUAUUUUUAAAAAGUAUAAUUUAAUUUUAGUACCUUGUGUAUCAGGGUUUAUUAAAUAAAUAUUAUAAAUUUUAAUUUUCUCGAAUUUAAGAGAGCUAAUAAAUUAUUUUUUUUAUUGUAAAAAAAAUAUUUAUAAUAAUUUAUUAGUAAUGAGAUGUUAUUCGUUCUUAAAUAUAUCUAGUUUAUUUAGAAAUGGAUUUAAUUCAGAUAUUAUUAUUUUAAUAGUUUAAUUUUUUAAAUUAUUAAAUUUAUUAAUAUUAAUAAUUAAAGGGAUUAGCUUUUAAUUAAAAAUUUAAAAAUUAAUAAAAUAUUUUAAGAAAUGUAGAUUUAGAAAUAGUCAUCAAUAAUAAUUUGUUAUAAUUAAUUUAUAUAAAAAUAUUAUUUUAUAUAAUUUUAAAUUUUUUAUAAAUAAAUAAUUUUUAAUUUUAAAAAUUUAGGUAUAAUGGUAGAAUUAGUAUAUAUUUGAUUUAUUUAAAUAAUAAUUUUUUAAAGAUUAUUUAAAGGAAUUCGGCAAAAUUUUUACUCGCCUGUUUAACAAAAACAUGUCCUUUUGUAUUUUAUUUAAGGUCUAGUCUGCCCACUGAAUUUAAAUUUUAAAUGGCCGCAGUAUUUUGACUGUGCAAAGGUAGCAUAAUCAUUAGUUUUUUAAUUAAAAGCUUGUAUGAACGGCUGGACGAGGUAAAAUCUGUCUCUAUUUAAAUUACAAUAGAAUUUAACUUUUAAGUUAAAAGGCUUAAAUAUUAUUAAAAGACGAGAAGACCCUAUAGAUCUUUAUAAUUUAUUAAUUAAGAUUAAUUUAGAAUUAUUUAUAUUUUAUUUGAUUAAAUUAUUUUAUUGGGGUAAUAUAAAGAUUGAAUUAAUUCUUUUUUUUUAUAAACAUUAAUGUAUGAAUAUUAAUGAUCCAGUUUUAUUGAUUAUAAGAUUAAGUUACCUUAGGGAUAACAGCGUAAUUUUUUUAGAGAGUUCAUAUCGAUAAAAAAGUUUGCGACCUCGAUGUUGGAUUAAAGAUUAUUUUAGGUGCAGAAGCUUAAUAAUUUUGGUCUGUUCGACCAUUAAAUCUUUACAUGAUCUGAGUUCAGACCGGUGUAAGCCAGGUCGGUUUCUAUCUUUAAUAAAAUAAAAUAUUUUAGUACGAAAGGACCAAAUAUUUAAUAUAAUUAUAUUUUAGUUAAUUGAAUAUUAUUA